rnacentral:rRNA from 1 species
AACGAACGCUGGCGGCAGGCCUAACACAUGCAAGUCGAACGCCCGUAGCAAUACGGGAGUGGCAGACGGGUGAGUAACGCGUGGGAACGUACCCUUUGGUUCGGAACAACUCCGGGAAACUGGAGCUAAUACCGGAUGAGCCCUACGGGGGAAAGAUUUAUCGCCGAAGGAUCGGCCCGCGUCGGAUUAGCUUGUUGGUGAGGUAACGGCUCACCAAGGCGACGAUCCGUAGCUGGUCUGAGAGGAUGAUCAGCCACACUGGGACUGAGACACGGCCCAGACUCCUACGGGAGGCAGCAGUGGGGAAUAUUGGACAAUGGGCGCAAGCCUGAUCCAGCCAUGCCGCGUGAGUGAUGAAGGCCUUAGGGUUGUAAAGCUCUUUCGCCAGGGACGAUAAUGACGGUACCUGGAUAAGAAGCCCCGGCUAACUUCGUGCCAGCAGCCGCGGUAAUACGAAGGGGGCUAGCGUUGUUCGGAAUCACUGGGCGUAAAGCGCAUGCAGGCGG